rnacentral:rRNA from 1 species
UACGGGGGGGGCAAGCGUUGUUCGGAAUUACUGGGCGUAAAGGGCUCGUAGGUGGCCAACUAAGUCGGACGUGAAAUCCCUCGGCUUAACCGGGGAACUGCGUCCUGUAUGAUCGUGGAUUGGCUUUGGAGAUUGGGAGAGGCGCAGUACUCAGGUGUAGCGGUGAAAUGCGUAGAUAUCUGGAGGAACACCGGUGGCGAAGGCGGCGUCCUGGACCAACACUGACACUGAUG